rnacentral:rRNA from 1 species
CCUACGGGAGGCUGCAGUGGGGAAUAUUGGGCAAUGGACGCAAGUCUGACCCAGCAACGCCGCGUGAAGGAAGAAGGCUUUCGGGUUGUAAACUUCUUUUAGGGGGGAAGAGCAUAAGACGGUCCCCCUUGAAUAAGCCACGGCUAACUACGUGCCAGCAGCCGCGGUUAUACGUAGGUGGCAAGCGUUCUCCGGAUUUACUGGGUGUAAAGGGCAUGGAGCCGGGAAGACAAGUCAGAUGUGAAAUCCCGCGGCUCAACCGCGGAACUGCCUUUGAAACUGUUUGUCUUGAGUGACGGAGAGGUAGUCGGAAUUCCUAGUGUAGCGGUGAAAUGCGUAGAUAUUAGGAAGAACACCAGUGGCGAAGGCGGAUUACUGGACGACAACUGACGGUGAGGCGCGAAAGCGUGGGGAGCAAACAGGAUUAGAUACCCCUGUAGUC